rnacentral:rRNA from 1 species
AACGAACGCUGGCGGCAUGCCUAACACAUGCAAGUCGAACGGAUGUAGCAAUACAUCAGUGGCGCACGGGAGAGUAACGCGUGGGAAUCUACCUUGUAGUUCGGAACAACACCGGGAAACUGGUGCUAAUACCGGAUACGCCCUACGGGGGAAAGUUUUUCGCUAUAAGAGGAGCCCGCGUAAGAUUAGCUAGUUGGUGAGGUAAUGGCUCACCAAGGCUACGAGCUUUAGCUGGUCUGAGAGGACGAUCAGCCUCACUGGGACUGAGACACGGCCCAGACUCCUACGGGAGGCAGCAGUGGGGAGUAUUGGACAAUGGGGGAAACCCUGAUCCAGCAAUGCCGCGUGGGUGAUGAAGGUCUUCGGAUUGUAAAGCCCUUUUGGCAGGGACGGUGAUGACGGUACCUGCAGAAUAAGCUCCGGCUAACUUCGUGCCAGCCGCCGCAGUAA